GACGAACGCUGGCGGCGUGCCUAAUACAUGCAAGUAGAACGCUGAAGAGAGGAGCUUGCUCUUCUUGAAUGAGUUGCGAACGGGUGAGUAACGCGUAGGUAACCUGCCUUGUAGCGGGGGAUAACUAUUGGAAACGAUAGCUAAUACCGCAUAACAAUGGGUGACACAUGUCAUUUAUUUGAAAGGGGCAAUUGCUCCACUACAAGAUGGACCUGCGUUGUAUUAGCUAGUAGGUGAGGUAACGGCUCACCUAGGCGACGAUACAUAGCCGACCUGAGAGGGGGAUCGGCCAAACUGGGACUGAGACACGGCCCAGAAUCCUACGGGAGGCAGCAGUAGGGAAUCUUCGGCAAUGGGGGCAACCCUGACCGGGGAACGCCGCGUGAGGGAAGAAGGUUUUCGGAUCGGAAAGCUCUGUUGUAAGUCAAGAAUGAGUGUGAGAGUGGAAAGUUCACACUGUGACGGUAGCUUACCAGAAAGGGACGGCUAACUACGUG
rnacentral:rRNA from 1 species